GAUGAACGCUGGCGGCGUGCCUAAUACAUGCAAGUCGAGCGAACAGACGAGGAGCUUGCUCCUCUGACGUUAGCGGCGGGCGGGUGAGUAACACGUGGAUAACCUACCUAUAAGACUGGGAUAACUUCGGGAAACCGGAGCUAAUACCGGAUAAUAUAUUGAACCGCAUGGUUCAAUAGUGAAAGACGGUUUUGCUGUCACUUAUAGAUGGAUCCGCGCCGCAUUAGCUAGUUGGUAAGGUAACGGCUUACCAAGGCAACGAUGCGUAGCCGACCUGAGAGGGUGAUCGGCCACACUGGAACUGAGACACGGUCCAGACUCCUACGGGAGGCAGCAGUAGGGAAUCUUCCGCAAUGGGCGAAAGCCUGACGGAGCAACGCCGCGUGAGUGAUGAAGGUAUUCGGAUCGUAAAACUCUGUUAUUAGGGAAGAACAAAUGUGUAAGUAACUAUGCACGUCUUGACGGUACCUAAUCAGAAAGCCACGGCUAACUACGUG
rnacentral:rRNA from 1 species